UCCGAGUUAACCCUGGUAGUCCUAGCCGUAAACGGUGCUUGCUUGCUGUAAAAGGAAUCGACCCCUUUUGUGGCGAAGCUAACGCGAUAAGCAAGCCGCCUGGGAAGUACGGUCGCAAGAUUAAAACUCAAAGAAAUUGACGGGGGCCCGCACAAGCGGCGGAGCAUGUGGCUUAAUUCGAGGCAACGCGAAGAACCUUACCUGGGCUUGACAUGUACCGAAAAGCCGUAGAGAUACGGUGUCCUUCGGGGCGGUACACAGGUGGUGCAUGGUUGUCGUCAGCUCGUGUCGUGAGAUGUUGGGUUAAGUCCCGCAACGAGCGCAACCCUUGUCCUAUGUUGCCAGCGCGUAAUGGCGGGGACUCGUAGGAGACUG
rnacentral:misc_RNA from 1 species